rnacentral:rRNA from 1 species
GAUGAACGCUGGCGGCGUGCCUAAUACAUGCAAGUCGAGCGCAGCGGGGACGGGUGAGUAACACGUGGAUAACCUCCUAUAAGACUGGGAUAACUUCGGGAAACCGGAGCUAAACCGGAUAUUUAUGGAUGGCUCCGCGCUGCAUUAGCUAGUUGGUAAGGUAACGGCUUACCAAGGCAACAAUGCAUAGCCGGCCUGAGAGGGUGAUCUGCCACACUGGAACUGAGAAACGGUCCAGAAUCAUACGGGAGGCAGCAGUAGGGAAUCUUCCGCAAUGGGCGAAAGCCUGACGGAGCAACGCCGCGUGAGUGAAGAAGGUCUUCGGAUCGUAAAACUCUGUUAUUAGGGAAGCGGUACCUAAUCAGAAAGCCACGGCUAACUACGUGCCAGCAGCCGCGGUAAUAC